rnacentral:rRNA from 1 species
GAUGAACGCUGGCGGCGUGCUUAACACAUGCAAGUCGAACGAGAAGUGAAGACGGAAACCUUCGGGCGGAAGGCUUUAUUUCGAGUGGCGGCCGGGUGAGUAACGCGUGGGUAACCUGCCUCAUACAGGGGGAUAACAGUUGGAAACGACUGUUAAUACCGCAUAAGACCACAGCACCGCAUGGUGCGGGGGUAAAAACUCCGGUGGUAUGAGAUGGACCCGCGUUCGAUUAGCCAGUUGGCGGGGUAACGGCCCACCAAAGCGACGAUCGAUAGCCGAUCUGAGCGGGUGACCGGCCACAUUGGGACUGGGACACGGCCCAAACUCCUACGGGAGGCAGCAGUGGGGAAUAUUGCACGAUGGGGGAAACCCUGAUGCAGCGACGCCGCGUGAGUGAAGAAGUGUUUCGGUAUGUAAAGCUCUAUCAGCAGGGAAGAAAAUGGCGGUACCUGAGUAAGAAGCCCCGGCUAACUACG